rnacentral:rRNA from 1 species
GUAUGCGAUCAUAUUAGUACUAAUGCAACGGAUUCUAUUGGAACUUCGUAGUUAAGCUUGCUUGGACGAUGUGUAGUAGUUUUAUAAAUACCACCUCUGUGAGUAAAUUUUUGAAAUGCAUCCA